CACCGCGGUUAUACGAGAGGCCCAAGUUGAUAGAUCUCGGCGUAAAGCGUGGUUAAAAUAAACAAUAACUAAGACCGAAUACUUUUAGCACUGUUAUACGUAUUCAAAAGUUAGAAGCCCAGCUACGAAGGUGGUCUUAAAUGUUUGAACCCACGAAAGCUAUGAAA
rnacentral:rRNA from 1 species